rnacentral:rRNA from 1 species
AAUGCUGACAUAAGUAACGAUAAAGCGGGUGAAAAGCCCGCUCGCCGGAAGACCAAGGGUUCCUGUCCAACGUUAAUCGGGGCAGGGUGAGUCGACCCCUAAGGCGAGGCCGAAAGGCGUAGUCGAUGGGAAACAGGUUAAUAUUCCUGUACUUGGUGUUACUGCGAAGGGGGGACGGAGAAGGCUAUGUUGGCCGGGCGACGGUUGUCCCGGUUUAAGCGUGUAGGCUGGUUUUCCAGGCAAAUCCGGAAAAUCAAGGCUGAGGCGUGAUGACGAGGCACUACGGUGCUGAAGCAACAAAUGCCCUGCUUCCAGGAAAAGCCUCUAAGCAUCAGGUAACAUCAAAUCGUACCCCAAACCGACACAGGUGGUCAGGUAGAGAAUACCAAGGCGCUUGAGAGAACUCGGGUGAAGGAACUAGGCAAAAUGGUGCCGUAACUUCGGGAGAAGGCACGCUGAUAUGUAGG